GUUCAGUAUGACAGUAGUCCCUAUGCAGAAAUGAAUGAUCUUUUAUUCUAUUUGACUAAUUUUCAGGAAAUGUAGGGGAAAAAAGAGUAAAUUGAGUGACAAGUGUGAAAGCAGGGUAAGAAAUUAAAAUGUGGUUAUCCUUCAAUAUCCAUUUUCCUCUUUGUUAAUAACAAAAGCCCUAAUUUUUUUUUCAGAUACCAGGGGCCCGAGAUUGAACUCAGGACCUCCCAUGUGGGAGGCAGGAGCUCGACUACAUGAGCCACAUCCAGUCCUACCCCUAAUUUUUAAAUUAUUUAAAUUUUUAAAUAUUCUUAGUCUGCUAAGAAUAUUUCAUUUGCCAUACUCUUUUGCAGCGAUUGGAACCAUCUUAGACAAGGAGUUUAAACUGGGAAUGGAAGACUAGUAAUUCUUGACACUGUGAAAUUCCAAACAAGCCUUGGACGCUCUAACUCUGAAUUUUACAUGAAGAAGAAAUAAAUUAUUAAUUUUGUUUAAGCU
rnacentral:lncRNA from 1 species